rnacentral:rRNA from 1 species
AUACGGAAGGUACGGGCGUUAUCCGGAUUUAUUGGGUUUAAAGGGAGCGCAGGCGGAGAUGCAAGCGUGACGUCAAAUUUCGGGGCUCAACCCCGUCUCGCGUCGCGAACUGCGUCCCUUGGUUGCGGGAAGGGGAGGCGGAACUCGUGGUGUAGCGGGGAAAUGCAUAGAUAUCACGAAGAACUCCGAUCGCGAAGGCAGCCUUCCGGCCCGUCAACGACGCUCAUGCUCGAAGGUGCGGGUAUCAAACAGGAUUAGAUACCCUGGUAGUCCGCACAGUAAACGAUGGACACCCGCGGUUUGGCCUGUAUGGCUGAGCCGCCAAGCGAAAGCGUUAAGUGUCCCACCUGGGGAGUACGCCGGCAACGGUGAAACUCAAAGGAAUUGACGGGG